UACGGGGGGGGCAAGCGUUGUUCGGAAUUACUGGGCGUAAAGGGCUCGUAGGCGGCCAACUAAGUCAGACGUGAAAUCCCUCGGCUUAACCGGGGAACUGCGUCUGAUACUGGAUGGCUUGAGUUUGGGAGAGGGAUGCGGAAUUCCAGGUGUAGCGGUGAAAUGCGUAGAUAUCUGGAGGAACACCGGUGGCGAAGGCGGCAUCCUGGACCAGCACUGACGCUGAGUGAGCGAAAGCGAGGGGAGCAAACGGG
rnacentral:rRNA from 1 species